UACGAAGGGUGCAAGCGUUAAUCGGAAUUACUGGGCGUAAAGCGCGCGUAGGCGGCUUUUCAAGUCGGAUGUGAAAUCCCCGGGCUUAACCUGGGAACUGCAUUCGAGACUGUCUAGCUAGAGUAUGGGAGAGGGAAGUGGAAUUUCAGGUGUAGCGGUGAAAUGCGUAGAUAUCUGAAGGAACAUCAGUGGCGAAAGCGACUUCCUGGACCAAUACUGACGCUCAUGUGCGAAAGCGUGGGGAGCAAAC
rnacentral:rRNA from 1 species